rnacentral:lncRNA from 1 species
UACUAGUCUAGCUGGUAGCCGAUCCACACCUAAACCAAGCGAUCUCGGGUUCGAAUCCGAGCCAAGCCUAUUUUUUGUUUUGUGUUAUUUAGAUUAGAGCCUCGCUGUGACGCUGUGAUUUAUAUCAGCUAUAUAUCCACCUUGUCCCAAAGCCUCAACACAGCGCAGUGGUUGGACUAUUUUUCCCUGGUCCAGGAGGUCGAGGGAUCAAAUCCCAUGAGUGCCAAAAAUUUUGCUGGCUGUGGGUUUAUUUUUUUCUGUCUUGCACACAACUUUCUUGGGCCUAUUUCAUCCCUGGGCCACUGGACUAUGGUGCAAUUCGGCCCAUUAUGUUUUUUUUAAAACGUCGUGUGANNNNNNNNNNUGGGAUCAAAUCCCAUGAGUGCCAAAAAUUUUGCUGGCUAUGGGUUUAUUUUUUUCUGUCUUGCACACAGCUUUCUUGGGCCUAUUUCAUCCCUGGGCCACUGCACUAUGGUGCAAUUCGGCCCAUUAUGUUUUUUUUAAAACGUCGUGUGAUUUUUCCAAUUCUCAGGGAUUUUGUGAAUUUCAGGAAAAGGCGUUGUUUUUCAAACGAGCGUAGUUUCUAAACCAUGCAUCGAAUUAAAAUGAUUUCAACAUAUAAGUUGCUUAGAAUUUUCUGUAGUUUCACAAAAACCAACUCUCAUGCAUAAUUAGAUCCGUUUAGUGUGCUGUUUGCAUUGGUUUGCGUCUCGACGUGUUGAAAACGGUUUAGGACGUAACUACUUGUUCGUAGCUCCGUUGGUGUUGUGCCAUAUAUGUAAAUGGACCAGCACGUCGCGUAGCAUCACGUGAACCACUUUGUUUUGCUGUUUAACAAACUUAAAAUGUGAUUAGGACAAAUCUGGACAGAAUUAAGUUUUAACACGUGGGGUCAUUUCGGAGAUGCUAUAUGUCGUUUCCGACCUAAUUUAAAAUGCCUAGAUAGGUAGUUUAAUUUCCGCUUCACCUCUUGCAUGUUUAACAACAUUAAUAUUGCCGUGUAAAUAACCGGGAUAGAACUAAAUAAUAAACGUGGAGUUUCGUCAAUAUGCAACUCGUUGCAUAUUGAACUUCACUUAAUGUGUAGUGUUUGAUUGUGUGAAUUGUCAUGCCGUGACUUGCAUGUAUCCAGCUGCUCAUGCAUCAUUUGUGUUUUGCAUCGUGUGGUGAAAUUCGUGUGUUGAUUCGUGUUUCCGGUUUGCUUCGUCUCGAUAGAGUACCACAAGCGUGUCGGAUGUGAGGACUCGUUCGACUACCUCGGCUCGUCUGCUUCACGGAGGCAUACUUCUUCCANNNNNNNNNNGUGCAUCGUGUGGUGAAAUUCGUGUGUUGAUUCGUGUUUCCAGUUUGCUUCGUCUCGAUAGAGUACCACAAGCGUGUCGGAUGUGAGGACCCGUUCGACUACCUCGGCUCGUCUGCUUCACGGAGGCAUACUUCUUCCAAGCGGGAUCUCAGGCAAGAUGAUUAUUUCCCCAGAUACCAUUACUAUCAUUGCCAUGCUAGUUAUUUCGAUGCUAUCGCUUAUGUCUCGUUGCCUACCACAUGUUAAAUCUCAGCCUCUCAACAAUGCCAUGAAACCUUCAACAUGUUCAACCUAGCAAACCACUGAUUGGCUAUGUUACUGCUUGCUUAACCCUGUUGAUAGCGUUGCUAGUUGCAGGUGCAUUUGCUUCCAUGUGAAACAUGGGUUCCUUGUCAUAUCACCAUAUUAAAUGUUAUUUAAUUUAACGGACCUAUAUACUUGGUAAAAGGUGGAAGGCUCGGCCUUUCUAGCCUGGUGUUNNNNNNNNNNAUAUUUAAUUUAAUGCACCUAUACACUUGUUAAAGGUGGAAGGCUCGGCCUUUCUAGCCUGGUGUUUUGUUCCACCUUUNNNNNNNNNNNNCUAUUUCAUUUAAUGCACCUAUACACUUGGUAAAAGGUGGAAGGCUCGGCCUUUCUAGCCUGGUGUUUUGUUCCACCUUUGCCCCCUUAGUUUCGGCUACCGGUGUUAUGUUCCAUAAAUGAGCGCUCCUAACACGAUCGGGGUUGUUAUGGGGACCCCCUUGAUAAUUCGUUUUAGAUUAAAGCUGGUCUGGCAAGGCCCAACAUUGGUACUACAUUUGCCUAAACACCUAAUAAAAUUGCAUAGGGACUUUCCGGACCCCGAGGAUAAUUUAAUCAACCCCCGGGCCAGUACUCCUCAUGAGUGUUGGUCCCACCUGAGCGUUGUCCGGCGCCCCUCUGGUCACCCGGAGGUUUAGCGAUCCCGACGUCUAGCUCAUCCGCCGUGUCCUGAGAANNNNNNNNNNUCUGGUCCGGCAAGGCCCAACUUUGGUACUACAUUUGCCUAAUAACCUAAUAAUAAUGCAUAGGGACCCGCCGGCACCCGCGGACUAUUUUAAUCAACCCCCGGGCCAGUGCUCCUCAUGAGUGUUGGUCCAAAACAGAGCAGCUUAUUAACGCUACCCGGGGCAACUCAGUGUUUGGCGUGGUAACCAUAGCUCAUCCGUCGUGUCCUGAGAACGAGGUACGCGACUCCUAUCGGGAUCAUCGACACGUCGGGCGGCCUUGCUGGAUUAGUUUUACCUUUGACGAGAUAUCUUGUGCAUCGGGAUUCGGUGAUGCUUUGGGUAAUCUUAGAGUUGAGGUUUUUCACUAGGGAAUCCGACGAGAUCGCGAGCUUCGUGAUCGAGGAUUUCUAUGCGGCUUGUGGUAAUUUGUGAUGGACUAGUUGGAGCACCCCUGCAGGGUUAAAUCUUUNNNNNNNNNNNNNNNNNNNNNNNNNNNNNNNNNNNNNNNNNNNNNNNNNNNNNNNNNNNNNNNNNNNNNNNNNNNNNNNNNNNNNNNNNNNNNNNNNNNNNNNNNNNNNNNNNNNNNNNNNNNNNNACUUAAUUAAAACAUGCCCACUGUGUGCGUAACCGUGACUGUCUCUUUCGUGAGUUCUUACUCCGAUCGAGGACANNNNNNNNNNUCAAUUAAAAUAUGCCAACUGUGUGCAUAACCGUGACUGUCUCUUUCGAGAGUUCCUUCUCCGAUCGAGGACACGGUGGGGUUAUGUCUGACGUAGGUAGGUGUUCAGGAUCAUUCAUUUGAUCAUCAGUAGACACGUCCGUUAUGCGUAGAUCUUCCCCCUCUUAUUUCUUGUACUCGUAAGUUUAGCCACCAAAUAUAUGCUUAGCCGCUGCUGCAACCUCACCACUUAACCAUACCUCACCCACUUAGCUUUGCUAGUCUUGAUACCUUUGGAAAUGAAAUUGCUGAGUCCCCUGUGGCUCACAGAUUGCUAGAACACCAGUUGCAGGUACAUGUAAAGGUUACUUGACGCGAGCGCGUUGAUUGUUCAUUUGGAGUUGCUUCUUCUUCNNNNNNNNNNUCCUUGUGGCUCACAGAUUGCUACAACACCAGUUGCAGGUACAUGUAAAGGUUACUUGACGCGAACGCGUUGAUUGUUCAUUUGGAGUUGCUUCUUCUUCUUCUUCUUCAUCGAUCUAGGAUGGGCUCCAGGCCGGCAGCCUGGGAUAGCAAGGAUGGACGUCGUUUCAUUUUCUUGUUUGUUUUCGUCCGUAGUCGGACCCUGCUCUUACUCUUGAUGAUUAUGUAAUGUACCGAUGUGACUCUGAUGUAGCUUGUGGCGAGUGUAAGCCAACUCUGUAUAUAUAUCUCUUCUUUUCAGUACAUGUACUUGUAACGAUAUACAUUCUUGCGACACGACGAGAUGCGCUUCUAUCCCUGACGAGGCCUUCGUGCCAAAUUGAGGAUAGGGUCGCAUCUUGGGCGUGACACCUGGGCUCUCUUAGCUCAAAUGGGGCACUAGGGUGGUCGAUUGGAGGUAGGAGGGAGAGGCCUGAGGUACUGGGAGAGUUGGUGUGGCCUAUUUAUAGGCCAGCGACAGUCACCGAAAGGUGGUGUGUCGGUGGUUUUGCUGCAGCGGCAAGAGAGGGAGAGAGGGCUCGAGCGCAAAACCGUGGUUUACGGAUGUGGUUUAGGACCGCGUGGCAUCUUCAGGAGGAGCGUGGGCAGCCUCUUGGGGCGUCG